GACGUAGGGCGCGAGCGUUGUCCGGAUUUAUUGGGCGUAAAGAGCUCGUAGGCGGCUUGUCGCGUCGACCGUGAAAACUUGGGGCUCAACCCCAAGCCUGCGGUCGAUACGGGCAGGCUCGAGUUCGGUAGGGGAGACUGGAAUUCCUGGUGUAGCGGUGAAAUGCGCAGAUAUCAGGAGGAACACCGGUGGCGAAGGCGGAUCUCUGGGCCAUUACUGACGCUGAGGAGCGAAAGCGUGGGGAGCGAACAGG
rnacentral:rRNA from 1 species